rnacentral:lncRNA from 1 species
CUCUCUUCCCCAGUCUAUUUUGUCUCUGUCUAUCUCCACUCUCUUUUGUCUCUCUCUCUCACCGGCGGAUGGAUUUGUAUUAGCCGAAACAGCCGCCUUUUUUGUGAAGCUCCGGUGAGACCACUCACCGAGAAAUGUGUUGACUCGUUUAAUACCGAGCUAGCUGAUCUUCCUCUUUAUUAUCCCUACUGUGCGUUGAAUUCUGGAUAUACAGCACUGUCGUCAAUCUAAACCAACCGCCGAGCCUAAUCUUAGUUUCAUUAGCUCGGUUGGUUGAUUUCAUCAGUCCUAAUCGAUGGCGG